UUUACCUAUAAGCCGAAUGCAACCAAAAUGGAAGACCGUUCCUGUGCUCUCACCAGCCAAUCACAAACCAAUUUCCUAUCCAAUCACAAGUCACCCGAACUUAAAAGAUUGUGGCCUCAAUCACGUUUCUUUUAGUUAGUUGAGUGGGAGGGUUGUCGUCGUUGAACAGUGGAAAGCUGACUUUCAGCUUUGCUGUAUAUGAAUGGCUCCGAGUUAGAUUGAGCACAAAGACGAGCACCAUGUGGAGGUUCGAGCUAGGGAGAGAGAACGAGAGAAACAACUCCUCGCUCGGACGCCUCCUUUGUCAAGUCCCGGCCUGUGCUGCCCCAUUCUCCGGACUCAACCCGAACAUCUGCCCCCGACAAAAAAAAAAAAAUCCCCAUUGCGUCUUGCAGCCAUAGCAAGUUGCGUAGACGAGUUGCAGAUCAAUGCUUGUCCCCUCUUUUUAAUUGUGUAACGGUCCUACUUAUGGACGCCCCCUUGCAAGACGGGGGCAAGCGUUUAGGGCUCCUGCACGUCUGAUUUAGUUCCAAGCAAAGCGGGCCUAAAUGGCUCUAAUUGCCAACGCCUUGAUGAAAAGUCGAUGGGAGUUAAAGCGGACCGAUCACUAAGCGGAGCUGCGAUCCAUCUGUACUCACUUUAUUUAUUUAUUUCCUCCAUUUGUCUCCACAAAUCACCUGCCAGCCGGGACCGGGACGCAUAUUUGUUUUUGUUUGUGCUCAUUUACAUUCACUUGAGUUUCGAAUUCAUAUCAUGGAUUGCUAUUUGUUAUUAACGUUGCACGACGUAUAGAUGGACGCAUAUUCGCCAUAUUUUGUUUGCAAAUUAAUUCAACUCUUUGUUGGUUUUUUUGUCAAGACAUUUCACGCGUGCAUUCGUUUAGCAAGCAGGUGUCCCGCAGCCCACGAGCAGAUUAAACAAAUACAUUAAGACGUUUUAACGUUGAAUAAUUUGAGCAUGAAAAAGCUAAUAAAUCAGAGGAUGGUAUGGCA